UACUGCAAGAACAAGGAGUGCAGGAAGCACACCCUUCACAAGGUCACUCAGUACAAGAAGGGAAAGGACAGCCUGUCUGCCCAGGGAAAGCGCCGUUAUGACCGUAAGCAGUCAGGAUAUGGUGGGGGGACCCCAGGGAAAGCGCCGUUAUGACCGUAAGCAGUCAGGAUAUGGUGGUCAGACCAAGCCUGUUUUCCACAAGAAGGUAUUGUGACAGUUUAUGUGUGACUGUCUAUUCGUUAGAAACAUAUGGUGUCAUGAUUGAUUUAUCCUGUUCUACUAAUGUGGUAAUGCCUAUGGCUUUCCGCUGAGUAAUCUUAUUGCUUAUGAAUUUCUGC
rnacentral:lncRNA from 1 species